AGCAGCCGCGGUAAUUCCAGCUCCAAUAGCGUAUAUUAAAGUUGUUGCAGUUAAAAAGCUCGUAGUUGAAUUUCGGGAUUCUAUCGUUGGUCAGGCUAUUGUCUGUACUGGCGUAUAGAAUUUCUACCUUCUGGGGAACUAUCAUGUUAUUAAUUUAGCGUGGUAGGAAACCAGGACCUUUACCUUGAAAAAAUUAGAGUGUUCAAAGCAGGCUUAUGUCUGAAUACAUUAGCAUGGAAUAAUAAAAUAGGACGGUGGUCCUGUUUUGUUGGUUUCUG
rnacentral:rRNA from 1 species